GCCUUGUACACACCGCCCGUCACACCAUGGGAGUGGGAUGCAAAAGAAGUGGAUAGUCUAACCUUCGGGAGGACGUUCACCACUUUGUGUUUCAUGACUGGGGUGAAGUCGUAACAAGGUAACCCUAGGGGAACCUGGGGUUGGAUCACCUCCUU
rnacentral:rRNA from 13 species